GGGUGAGUAACACGUGAGUAACCUGCCCUUAACUCUGGGAUAAGCCUUGGAAACGGGGUCUAAUACUGGAUAUUGACUUUACCUCGCAUGGGGUUUGGUUGAAAGAUUUAUUGGUUUUGGAUGGACUCGCGGCCUAUCAGCUUGUUGGUGAGGUAAUGGCUCACCAAGGCGACGACGGGUAGCCGGCCUGAGAGGGUGACCGGCCACACUGGGACUGAGACACGGCCCAGACUCCUACGGGAGGCAGCAGUGGGGAAUAUUGCACAAUGGGCGAAAGCCUGAUGCAGCGACGCCGCGUGAGGGAUGACGGCCUUCGGGUUGUAAACCUCUUUCAGUAGGGAACAAGGCCAGCAUUUUUGUUGGUUGAGGGUACUUGCAGAAGAAGCGCCGGCUAACUACGUGCCAGCAGCCGCGGUAAUACGUAGGGCGCAAGCGUUAUCCGGAAUUAUUGGGCGUAAAGAGCUCGUAGGCGGUUUGUCGCGUCUGCCGUGAAAGUCCGGGGCUC
rnacentral:rRNA from 1 species